ACACACGUACUACAAUGGCGCGCACAAAGGGCAGCGAUACCGCGAGGUGGAGCCAAUCCCAAAAAACGCGUCCCAGUCCGGACUGCAGUCUGCAACUCGACUGCACGAAGUCGGAAUCGCUAGUAAUCCCGGAUCAGCAUGCCGGGGUGAAUGCGUUCCCGGGCCUUGUACACACCGCCCGUCACACCACGAAAGUUGGUUUUACCCGAAGCCGGUGAGCUAACCGCAAGGAGGCAGCCGUCUACGGUAGGGCCGAUGAUUGGGGUGAAGUCGUAACAAGGUAGCCGUAGGGGAACCUGCGGCUGGAUCACCUCCUUU
rnacentral:rRNA from 1 species